rnacentral:piRNA from 1 species
GUUCGAUGUCACUGAGUCUG